rnacentral:ncRNA from 1 species
GGUGUCUGGGGUUACGGCCCUGGGUGAAAAGGGAACCGGGUGGGAAUCCCGGACAGACGGUGCUGCUGUGUGCCCGUUAUGGAAUUACCCGCACUGGACCACUUUGCGAUGCCCCGAUGGCAAGGGGGCCGCAUGGGAAGGGAUAGUGCAAAAAAGGGUAGGGGCGAGUCAGAAGACCUGCCAAAUCAAG